GGAAUAUUGGACAAUGGGCGCAAGCCUGAUCCAGCCAUGCCGCGUGAGUGAUGAAGGCCCUAGGGGUGUAAAGCUCUUUCACCGGUGAAGAUAAUGACGGUAACCGGAGAAGAAGGCCCGGCUAACUUCGUUCCAGCAGCCGCGGUAAUACGAAGGGGGCUAGCGUUGUUCGGAAGUACGGGGCGUAAAGCGCACUGAGGCGGAUCGUUAAGUGAGGGGUGAAAUCCCAGGGCUCAACCCUGGAACUGCCUUUCAUACUGGCGAUCUUGAGUUCGAGAGAGGUGAGUGGAAUUCCGAGUGUAGAGGUGAAAUUCGUAGAUAUUCGGAGGAACACCAGUGGCGAAGGCGGCUCACUGGCUCGAUACUGACGCUGAGGUGCGAAAGCGUGGGGAGCAAA
rnacentral:rRNA from 1 species